AGAGUUUGAUCAUGGCUCAGAUUGAACGCUGGCGGCAUGCUUUACACAUGCAAGUCGGACGGCAGCACAGAGAAGCUUGCUUCUUGGGUGGCGAGUGGCGAACGGGUGAGUAACAUAUCGGAACGUACCGAGUAAUGGGGGAUAACUAAUCGAAAGAUUAGCUAAUACCGCAUAUUCUCUGAGGAGGAAAGCAGGGGACCUUCGGGCCUUGCGUUAUUCGAGCGGCCGAUAUCUGAUUAGCUAGUUGGUGGGGUAAAGGCCUACCAAGGCGACGAUCAGUAGCGGGUCUGAGAGGAUGAUCCGCCACACUGGGACUGAGACACGGCCCAGACUCCUACGGGAGGCAGCAGUGGGGAAUUUUGGACAAUGGGCGCAAUCCUGAUCCAGCCAUGCCGCGUGUCUGAAGAAGGCCUUCGGGUUGUAAAGGACUUUUGUCAGGGAAGAAAAGGCUGUUGCUAAUACCGACAGCUGAUGACGGUACCUGAAGAAUAAGCACCGGCUAACUACGUGCCAGCAGCCGCGGUAAUACGUAGGGUGCGAGCGUUAAUCGGAAUUACUGGGCGUAAAGCGAGCGCAGACGGUUACUUAAGCAGGAUGUGAAAUCCCCGGGCUCAACCUGGGAACUGCGUUCUGAACUGGGUGACUAGAGUGUGUCAGAGGGAGGUAGAAUUCCACGUGUAGCAGUGAAAUGCGUAGAGAUGUGGAGGAAUACCGAUGGCGAAGGCAGCCUCCUGGGAUAACACUGACGUUCAUGCUCGAAAGCGUGGGUAGCAAACAGGAUUAGAUACCCUGGUAGUCCAA
rnacentral:rRNA from 1 species